UAAGGAAUAUUGCUCAAUGGGAGAAAUCCUGAAGCAGCAACGCCGCGUGGAGGAUGAAGGGUCUAUGACUUGUAAACUCCUGUAAAGAAGGAAAAAAUUCCCAUUUGAUGGGAGAUGAUGGUACUUCUGGAGUAAGCCCCGGCUAACUACGUGCCAGCAGCCGCGGUAAUACGUAGGGGGCAAGCGUUGUCCGGAUUUACUGGGUGUAAAGGGUGCUCAGGCGGAUUUGUAAGUCAGAGGUGAAAUCUUACAGCUUAACUGUGAAACUGCCUUUGAUACUGCAAGCCUAGAGUAUGGAAGAGAGUGAUGGAAUAUCUGGUGGAGCAGUGAAAUGCGUAGAUAUCAGAUAGAACACCAAUGGCGAAGGCAGUCACUUGGUCCAUUACUGACGCUAAAGCACGAAAGCGUGGGUAGCAAACA
rnacentral:rRNA from 1 species